rnacentral:rRNA from 1 species
UACGUAGGGGGGCAAGCGUUGUCCGGAUUUAUUGGGCGUAAAGAGCGUGUAGGCGGCCAGACAGGUCAGCUGUGAAAACUCGAGGCUCAACCUCGAGACGUCGGUUGAAACCGUUUGGCUAGAGUCCGGAAGAGGAGAGUGGAAUUCCCGGUGUAGGCGGUGAAAUGCGCAGAUAUCGGGAAGAACACCCGUGGCGAAGGCGGCUCUCUGGGACGGUACUGACGCUGAGACGCGAAAGCGUGGGAGCGAACGAGG